GCGCCCGUGGCCUAAUGGAUAAGGCGUCUGAUUUCUAAUCAGGUGAUUGUGGGUUCGAGUCCCACUGAGCGUG